UUUGGAAAGGUUCAAGCUUUUUGGCUUUAGGGUUAAAAUCACUGUCCAAAUCCUUAGUAGGAACUCUUUUCCAACCUUUUGGAGUUAGUUAGACCAAAAAAAAAGGAAAAAUGAAAAAAAAAUAUUUCGGGUGUUCGGGCGUCCUGAAGGUAAUACCAGGGUAUUAGGUUAUGGGGCUUUUGAAAGGUUUAAGGUUUUUGGCGUUAGGGUUAAAAUCACUGUCCAAAACCUUUGUAGGAACUCUUCUCCAACCUUUUGGAGUUAGUUAGACCAAAAAAAUGAAAAAUUAAAAAAAAAUGUUUGGGGUGUUCGGGCUUCCUGAAGGUAAUACCCGGGUAUUAGAUUAUGGGGCUUUGGAAAGGUUCAAGCUUUUUGGCUUUAGGGUUAAAAUCACUGUCCAAAUCCUUAGUACGAACUCUUUUCCAACCUUUUGGAGUUAGUUAGACCAAAAAAAAAAGGAAAAAUGAAAAAAAUAUAUUUCGGGUGUUCGGGCAUCCUGAAGGUAAUACCCGGGUAAUAGGUUUUGGGACUAGGGUAAGGUCAAAGGUUUUGGGCGCUAGGGUUAAAAUUCGUGUCCAAAACCUUUUUAGGAACAUGUUUCAGACCUUUUGGAGUUAGUUUGAAAAAAAAAAAAUGAAAAAUGAAAAGAAAGUAUUUGGGGUGUUCGGGAUUCCUGAAGGUUAUACCUGGGUAUUAGGUUUUGGGACUAGGGGAAGGUUUAAAGAUUUUGGCGUUAGGGUCAAAAUCCAUGUCCAAAACCUUUUGAGGAACAUGUUUCAGACCUGUUGGAGUUAGUUUGACCAAAAAAUAAUGAAAAAUGAAAAAAAAAUAUUUGUGUUGUUUGGGAUUCCUGAAUUACAUGAGUAAUACCCAGGUAUUAAGAUUUUUGGGCUAGGGCAAGGUUUAAGGUUUUUGGCGUUAGGGUUUAUAUCACUGUCCAAAACCUUUGUAGGAACUCUUUUCCAACCUUUUGGAGUUAGUAAGACCAAGAAAAAAAAAAAUGAAAAAAAAAAAUAAUUGGGUUCUUCGGGCUGUCUGAUGGCAAUACCCGGGUAUUAGGUUAUUGGGCUAUGGGAAGUUUAAGGUUUUUGGCGUUAGGGUUAAAAUCACUGUCCAAAACCUUUUUAGGAACAUGUUUCAGACCUUUUGGAGUUAGUUUGAAAAAAAAAUAAUGAAAAAUGAAAAAAAAAUAUUUGGGGUGUUCGGGAUUCCUGAAGGUUAUACCCUGGUAUUAAGAUUUUUGUGCUGGAGCAGGGUUUAAGUUUUUUGGCGUUAGGGUUUAAAUCACUGUCCAAAACCUUUGUAGGAACUCUUUGCCAACCUUUUGGAGUUAGUUAGACCAAAAAAAAUUGAAAAAUGAAAAAAAAAUAUUUGGGGUUUUUUGGCUUCCUGAAGGUAAUACCCAGGUAUUGGGUUAUGGGACAAUGUAAAGAUUUAAGGUUUUUGGCUUUAGGGUUAAAAUCACUGUCCAAAACCUUUUUAGGAACAUGUUUCAGACCUUUUGGAGUUGGUUACACCAAGAAAAAUUGAAAAAAAAGAAAAAAAAGAUAUUUGGGGUGUUCGGGCUUCCUGAAGGUCAUACCCGGGCAUUAGGUUAUGUGGCCUUCGAAAAGGUUCAAGGUUUUUGGCGUUAGGGUUUAAAUCACUGUCCAAAACCUUUGUAGGAACUCUUUUUCAACCUUUUGGAGUUAGUUAGACCAGAAAAAAUAAAAAAUUAAAAAAAUAUAUUUGGGGUGUUCAGGCUUCCUGAAGGGAAUACCCGGGUAUUAGGUUAUGGGGCAAUGGAAAGAUUUAAGGUUUUUGUCUUCAGGGUUAAAAUCACUGUCCAAAACCUUUGUAGGAACUCUUUUCCAACCUUUUGGAGUUAGUUAGACCAAAAAAAAAUGAAAAAUGAAAAAAAUAUAUUUGGGGUGUUCAGGCUUCCUGAAGGGAAUACCCGGGUAUUAGGUUAUGGGGCAAUGGAAAGAUUUAAGGUUUUUGUCUUCAGGGUUAAAAUCACUGUCCAAAACCUUUUUAGGUACAUGUUUCAGACCUUUUGGAGUUGGUUACAUCAAGAAAAAAUGUAAAAUGAAAAAAAAAUAAAUGGGGUGUUCGGGCUUCCUGAAGGUCAUACCCGGGCAUUAGGUUAUUGGGCUAUGGGAAGUUUAAGGUUUUUGUCGUUAGGGUUAAAAUCACUGUCCAAAACCUUUGUAGUAACUCUUUUCCAACCUUUUGGAGUUAGUUAGACCAAAAAAAACAGAAAAAUUAAAAAAAUGUUUAUGGUGUUCUGGCUUUCUAAAGGUCAUAACCGGUAUUAGGUUACGGGGCAAUGGAAAGAUUUAAGGUUUUUGUCUUUAGGGUUAAAAUCACUGUCCAAAACCUUUUUAGGAACAUGUUUCAGACCUUUUGGAGUUGGUUACACCAAGAAAAAUUGAAAAAAAAUAAAAAAAAGAUAUUUGGGGUGUUCGGGCUUCCUGAAGGUCAUACCCGGGCAUUAGGUUAUGUGGCUUUCGAAAAGGUUCAAGGUUUUUGGCGUUAGGGUUUAAAUCACUGUCCAAAACCUUUGUAGGAACUCUUUUCCAACCUUUUGGAGUUAGUUAGACCAGAAAAAAUGAAAAAUUAAAAAAAAAUGUUUGGGGUGUUCGGGCUGUCUGAAAGUAAUACCCGGGUAUUAGGUUAUUGGGCUAUGGGAAGUUUAAGGUUUUUGGCGUUAGGGUUAAAAUCACUGUCCAAAACCUUUGUAGGAACUCUUUUCCAACCUUUUGGAGUUAGUUAGACCAAAAAAAAAAUUAAAAAUGAAAAAAAUAUAUUUGGGGUGUUCAGGCUUCCUGAAGGGAAUACCCGGGUAUUAGGUUAUGGGGCAAUGGAAAGAUUUAAGGUUUUUGUCUUCAGGGUUAAAAUCACUGUCCAAAACCUUUUUAGGUACAUGUUUCAGACCUUUUGGAGUUGGUUACAUCAAGAAAAAAUGUAAAAUGAAAAAAAAAUAAAUGGGGUGUUCGGGCUUCCUGAAGGUCAUACCCGGGCAUUAGGUUAUUGGGCUAUGGGAAGUUUAAGGUUUUUGUCGUUAGGGUUAAAAUCACUGUCCAAAACCUUUGUAGUAACUCUUUUCCAACCUUUUGGAGUUAGUUAGACCAAAAAAACAGAAAAAUUAAAAAAAUGUUUAUGGUGUUCUGGCUUUCUAAAGGUCAUAACCGGUAUUAGGUUACGGGGCAAUGGAAAGAUUUAAGGUUUUUGUCUUUAGGGUUAAAAUCACUGUCCAAAACCUUUUUAGGAACAUGUUUCAGACCUUUUGGAGUUGGUUACACCAAGAAAAAUUGAAAAAAAGAAAAAAAAGAUAUUUGGGGUGUUCGGGCUUCCUGAAGGUCAUACCCGGGCAUUAGGUUAUGUGGCUUUCGAAAAGGUUCAAGGUUUUUGGCGUUAGGGUUUAAAUCACUGUCCAAAACCUUUGUAGGAACUCUUUUCCAACCUUUUGGAGUUAGUUAGACCAGAAAAAAUGAAAAAUUAAAAAAAAAUGUUUGGGGUGUUCGGGCUGUCUGAAGGUCAUACCCGGGUAUUAGGUUAUUGGGCUAUGGGAAGUUUAAGGUUUUUGGCGUUAGGGUUAAAAUCACUGUCCAAAACCUUUGUAGGAACUCUUUGCCAACCUUUUGGAGUUAGUUAGACCAAAAAAAAAAUGAAAAAUGAAAAAAAUAUAUUUGGGGUGUUCAGGCUUCCUGAAGGGAAUACCCGGGUAUUAGGUUAUGGGGCUUUGGAAAGGUUUAAGGUUUUUGUCUUUAGGGUUAAAAUCACUGUCCAAAACCUUUUUAGGUACAUGUUUCAGACCUUUUGGAGUUGGUUACAUCAAGAAAAAAUGAAAAAUGAAAAAAAAAUAUUUGGGGUUUUCGGGCUUCCUGAAGGUCAUACCCGGGUUAUGGGUUUUGGGGCUUUGGAAAUCUUUAAGGUUUUUGGCGAAAGGGUUAAAAUCACUGUCCAAAACCUUUGUAAGAACUCUUUUCCAACCUUUUGGAGUUAGUUUGACCAAAAGAAAAUGAAAAAUAAAAAAAAAUGUUUGGGGUGUUCAGGCUUUCUGAAGGUAAUACCCGGGUAUUAGGUCAUGGGGCUAUGGUAUGGUUUAAGGUUUUUGGCGUAAGGGUUUAAAUCACUGUCCAAAACCUUUGUAGGAACUCUUUUCCAACCUUUUGGAGUAAGUUAGACCAAAAAAAAAUGAAAAAUGAAAAAAAAAUAUUUGGGUUUUAUUGGCUUCCUGUAGGCUUCCUGAAGGUAUAAGAUUAUGGAGCUUUGGAAAGGUUUAAGGUUUUUGGCGUUAGGGUUUAAAUCACUGUCCAAAGCCUUUGUAGGAACUCUUUUCCAACCUUUUGGAGUAAGUUAGACCAAAAAAAAAAUGAAAAAUGAAAAAAAAAUAUUUGGGUUUUUUUGGCUUCCUGAAGGCUUCCUGAAGGUAUUAGAUCAUGGGGCUUUGGAAAGGUUUAAGGUUUUUAGCGUUAGGGUUAAAAUCACUGUCCAAAACCUUUGUAGGAAUAUGUUUUAAUCCUGUUGGAGUUAGUUUGACCAAAAAAUAAUGAAAAAUGAAAACAAAAUAUUUGUGUUGUUCGGGAUUCCUGAAGGUCAUACCCGGGUAUUAAGAUUUUUGUGCUAGGGCAAGGUUUUAGGUUUUUGGCGUUAGGGUUUAAAUCACUGUCCAAAACCUUUGUAGGAACUCUUUUCCAACCUUUUGGACUUAGUUAGACCAAAAAAGAAAUGAAAAAUGAAAAAAAAAUAUUUGGGGUUUUCGGGCUUUCUGAAGGUAAUACCCGGGUAUUAGGUUAUGUGGCUUUCGAAAGGUUCAAGGUUUUUGGCUUUAGGGUUAAAAUCACUGUCCAAAACCUUUUUAGGAACAUGUUUCAGACCUUUUGGAGUUGGUUACACCAAGAAAAAAUGUAAAAAGAAAACAAAAUAUUUGUGGUGUUCGGGAUUCCUGAAGGUCAUACCCGGGUAUUAGGUUAUGGGGCUUUGGAAAGGUUAAAGGUUUUUGUCAUUUGGGUUAAAUUCACUGUUCAAAACCUUUGUAGGAACUCUUUUCCAACCUUUUGGAGUUAGUUUGACCAAAAAAAACCCAGAAAAACUAAAAAAAUGUUUAUGGUUUCGGGCUUUCUAAAGGUCAUACCUGGGUAUUAGGUUAUGGGGCUUUGGAAAGGUAUUAGGUUUUUGGCGUUAGGGUUAAAAUCACUGUCCAAAACCUUUGUAGGAACUCUUUUCCAACCUUUUGGAGUUAGUUCGACCAAAAAAAAAUGAAAAAUUAAAAAAUAUAUAUUUGGGGUGUUCGGGCUUCCUGAAGGGAAAACCCGGGUAUUAGGUUAUGGGGCAAUGGAAAGAUUUAAGGUUUUUGUCUUAAGGGUUAAAAUCACUGUCCAAAACCUUUUUAGGAACAUGUUUCAGACCUUUUGGAGUUGGUUACAUCAAGAAAAAAUAAAAAUUAAAAAAAUGUUUGUGGUGUUCGGUCUUUCUUUAGGUCUUCCCAGGGUAUUAGGUUUUGGGGCUUUGGAAAGGUUUAAGGUUUUGGCGUUAGGGUUAAAAUCAUUGUCCAAAACCUUUCUAGGAACUCUUUUCAAAGCUUUUGGAGUUAGUUAGACAAAAAAAAAAUGAAAAAUGAAAAAAAAAUAUUUGGGGUUUUUGGGCUUCCUGAAGGUAAUACCGGGGUAUUAGGUUAUGGGGCAAUGGAAAGAUUUAAGGUUUUUGUCUUUAGGGUUAAAAUCACUGUCCAAAACCUUUUUAGGAACAAGUUUCAGACCUUUUGGAGUAUGUUCCACCAAGAAAUAAUUUAAAAUGAAAAAAAAAUAUAUUUGGGGUUUUCAGGCUUCCUGAAGGUAAUUCCCUGGUAUUAGGUUUUGUGGCUUUGGAAAGGUUCAAGGUGUUUGGCAUUAGGGUUAAAAACACUGUCCAAAACCUUUGUGGGAACAAGUUUCAGACCUUUUGGAGUUAGUUACACCAAAAAAAUCAAAAAAAAUAUUUGGGGGUUCGGGCUUCCUGAAGGUAAUACCAGGGUAUUAGGUUUUGGGGCUAAAGUAAGUUUUAAGGGUUUUGGCAAUAGGGUCUAGUAUUAGGUUAUGGGGCUACAGUAAGGUUUAAGGCUUUUGGCGUUAGGGUUAAAAACACUGUCCAAAACCUUUGUGGGGACAAGUUUCAGACCUUUUGGAGUUCGUUAAACCAAAAAAAAGUAAAAUGAAAAAAAUAUAUUUGGGGUGUUCGGGCAUCCUGAAGGUAAUACCUGGGUAUUAGGUUGUGGGGCUCAGGUGAGGUUCAAGCUUUUUGGCAUCAGGGUUAAAAUCACUGUCCAAAACCUUUGUGGGAACAAGUUUCAGACCUUUUGGAGGUAGUUACACAAAACAAAAAAAAAUUAAAUGAAAAAAAAUUUAUUUGAGGUGUUCGGGCUGCUUGAAGGUAAUACCCAGGUAUAAGGGUUCGGGGCUAGGGAAAGGUUUAAGGUUUUUGGCAUUAGGGUUAAAAUCACUGUCCAAAACCUUUGUGGGAACAAGUUUCAGACCUUUUGGAGUUAGUUACACAAAAAAAAAUGUUAAAUGAAAAAGAAAUAUUUGGGGUGUUCAGGCCUCCUUCAGGUAAUUCCCGGGUAUUAGGCUCAGAGGGUAUGGUAAGUUUUAAGGUUUUUGGAGUUUGGGUUAAAAUCACUGUUCAAAACGUUUGUAGGGACUCUUUUCCAACCUUUUGGAGUUAGUUAGAACAAAAAAAUAAAAAAUGAAAAAAAAAUAUUUGGGGUUUUCUGGCUUCCUGAAGGUAAUACCCGGGUAUUAGGCUAUGGAAAAGGGUAUGGUUAUGUUUUUUGGCGUUAGGAUUAAAAUCACUGUCAAAAACCUUUUCCAACCUUUCGGAGUUAGACAAAAACAAAGAAAAAAGAAAAAAAUAUUUGGGGUUUUUCGGGCUUCCUGAAGGUAAUACCCGGGUAUAAGGUUAUGGGGCUAGGGAAAGGUUGAAGGUUUUUGGUGUUAUGGUUAAAAUCACUGACCACAUCCUUUUAAGGAACAUGUUUCAGACCUUUUGGAGUUAGUUAGACCAAAAAAAAUGAAAAAAGAAAAAAAAUUAUUUGGGAUUUUCGGGCUUCCUGAAGGUUAUACCCGUGUAUUCGGUUAUGGGGCUAGGGGAUGGUUUAAGGGUUUUUGGCGUUAGGGUUAAAAUCACUGUCCAAAACCUUUUUAGGAACAUGUUUCAGACCUUUUGGAGUUAGUUAGACCAAAAAAAAUGAAAAAAGAAAAAAAAUUAUUUGGGAUUUUCGGGCUUCCUGAAGGUUAUACCCGUGUAUUCGGUUAUGGGGCUAGGGGAUGGUUUAAGGGUUUUUGGCGUUAGGGUUAAAAUCACUGUCCAAAACCUUUUUAGGAACAUGUUUCAGACCUUUUGGAGUUGGUUACACCAAAAAAAUGCAAAAUUAAAAAAAAUAUAUUUGGGGUGUUCGGGAUUCCUGAAGGUAAUAUUAGGUUAUGGGGCUAGGGUAAGGUUUAAGGUUUUUGGCGUUAGGGUUAAAGUCACUGUCCAAAACCUUUUUAGGAACUCUUUUCCAACCUUUUGGAGUUAGUAAGACCAAAAUAAAUUGUAAAAUGAAAAAAAAAUGUUUGGGGUUUUCUGGCUUCCUGAAAGUAAUACCCGGGUAAUAGGUUAUGGACUAGUUUAUGGUUAAAGGUUUUUGGCGCUAGGGUUAAAAUCACUGUCAAAAACCUUUGUUUGAACUCUUUUCCAACCUUUUGGAGUUAGAAAAAAAAAAAGAAAAAAUAUUUCGGGUUUCGGGCUUCCUGAAGGUAAUACCUGGGUAUUAGGUUGUGGUGCUAGGGUAAGGUUGAAGGUUUUUGGCGUCAGGGUUAAAAUCACUUUCCAAUUUUUUUUAAGGAACAUGUUUCAGACCUUUUGGAGUUAGACCAAAAAAAAUGAAAAAAGAAAAAAAUUUAUUUGGGGUUUUUGGGCUUCCUUAAGGUAAUACCCGGGUAUUAGGUUGUGGGGCUAGGGGAUGGUUUAAGGGUUUUUGGUGUUAGGGUUAAGAUCACUGUCCAAAACCUUUUUAGGAACAUAUUUCAGACCUUUUGGAGUUGGUUACAACUAGAAAAUUUAAAAUAAAAAAAAAUAUAUUUGGGGUGUUCGGGCUUCCUGAAGGUAAUAUUAGGAUAUGGGGCUAGGGUAAGGUUUAAGGUUUUUGGCGUUAGGGUUAAAAUCACUGUCAAAAACCUUUGUUUGAACUCUUUUCCAACCUUUUGGAGUUAGAAAAAAAAAAAGAAAAAAUAUUUCGGGUUUCGGGCUUCCUGAAGGUAAUACCUGGGUAUUAGGUUGUGGUGCUAGGGUAAGGUUGAAGGUUUUUGGCAUCAGGGUUAAAAUCACUUUCCAAUUUCAGGAACAUGUUUCAGACCUUUUGGAGUUAGACCAAAAAAAAUGAAAAAAGAAAAAAAAUUAUUUGGGGUUUUUGGGCUUCCUUAAGGUAAUACCCGGGUAUUAGGUUGUGGGGCUAGGGGAUGGUUUAAGGGUUUUUGGUGUUAGGGUUAAAAUCACUGUCCAAAACCUUUUUAGGAACAUAUUUCAGACCUUUUGGAGUUGGUUACAACUAGAAAAUUUAAAAUAAAAAAAAAUAUAUUUGGGGUGUUCGGGCUUCCUGAAGGUAAUAUUAGGAUAUGGGGCUAGGGUAAGGUUUAAGGUUUUUGGCGUUAGGGUUAAAAUCACUGUCCAAAACCUUUUUAGGAACUCUUUUCCAACCUUUUGGAGUUAGUAAGACCAAAAUAAAUUGUAAAAUGAAAAAAAAAAUGUUUGGGCUUCCUUCAGGUAAUUCCCGGGUAUUAGGCUCUGAGGGUAUGGUAAGUUUUAAGGUUUUUGGAGUUAGGGUUAAAAUCACUGUCCAAAACCUUUGUAGGAACUCUUUUCCAACCUUUUGGAGUUAUUUAGAUCAAAAAAAAUAAAAAAUGGAAAAAAAAUAUUUGGGGUUUUCUGGCUUCCUGAAGGUAAUACCCGGGUAAUCAGUUAUGAACUGGUUUAUGGUGAAAGGUUUUUGGCGCUAGGGUUAAAAUCACUGUCAAAAACCUUUGUUUGAACUCUUUUCCAACCUUUUGGAGUUAGUUAGAAAAAAAAAGAAAAAAAAUAUUUGGGGUUUUCAGGCUUCCUGAAGGUAAUACCCGGGUAUUAGUUUAUGGGGCUAGGGUAAGGUUGAAGGUUUUUGGUGUUAUGGUUCAAAUCACUGACCAAAUCCUUUUAAGGAACAUGUAUCAGACCUUUUGGAGUUGUUUUCACCAAAAAAAAAUAUAAAUUGAAAAAAAUUUAUUUGGGGUGUUCGGGCUUCCUGAAGGUAGUGCCCGGGUACUAGGUUUUGGGGCUAUGGAAAGGUUUAAGGUUUUUGGCAUCAGGGUUAAAAUCACUGUCCAAUUUUUUUAAGGAACAUGUUUCAGACCUUUUGGAGUUGGUUAGACCAAAAAAAAUGAAAAAAGAAAAAAAAAUAUUUGGGGUUUUCGGGCUUCCUUAAGGUAAUACCAGAUUUUAGGUUAUGGACUAGUUUUUGGUUAAAGGAUUUUUGGCAUUAGGGUUAAAAUCACUGUCCAAAACCUUUUUGGGAACAUAUUUCAGACCUUUUCGAGUUGGUGACACCAAGAAAAUGUAAAAACAAAAAAAACAUAUUCGCGGUGUUUGGUCUUCCUGAAGGUAAAAUUAGGUUAUGGGGCUAGGGUAAGGUUUAAGGUUAUUGGCGUUAGGGUUAAAAUCACUGUCCAAAACCUUUUUAGGAACAUGUUUCAGACCUUUUGGAGCUGGUUACACCAAAAAAAUGUAAAAUAAAAAAAAAUUUAUUUGGGGUGUUCGGGCUUCCUGAAGGUAAUAUUAUGUUAUGGGGCUAGGGUAAGGUUUAAGGUUUUUGGCGUUAGGGUUAAAGUCACUGUCCAAAACCUUUUUAGGAACUCUUUUCCAACCUUUUGGAGUUAGUAAGACCAAAAUAAAAUGUAAAAUGAAAAAAAAAUGUUUGGGGUGUUCGAGCUUCCUUCACGUAAUACCCGGGUAUUAGGUUCUGGGGGUAUGAUAAGUUUUAAGGUUUUUGGAGUUAGGAUUAAAAUGACUGUCCAAAACCUUUGUAGGAACUCUUUUCCAACCUUUUGGAGUUAGUUAGAUCAAAAAAAAAUAAAAAAUGAAAAAAAAAUAUUUGGGGUUUUCUGGAUUCCUGAAGGUAAUACCCUGGUAAUAGGUUAUGGACUAGUUUUUGGUUAAAGGUUUUUUGCACCAGGGUUAAAAUUACUGUCAAAAUCCUUGGUUUGAACUCUUUUCCAACCUUUUGGAGUUAGUUAGACAAAAAAAAAGAAAAAAAUAUUUGGGGUUUUCAGGCUUCCUGAAGGUAAUAUCCGGGUAUAAGGUUUUGGGGCUAGGGUAAGGUUGAAGGUUUUUGGUGUUAUGGUUCAAAUUACUGACCAAAUCCUUUUAAAGAACAUGUAUCAGACCUUUUGGAGUUUUUUUCACCAAAAGAAAAUAUAAAUUGAAAAAAAUAUAUUUGGGGUGUUCGGGCUUCCUGAAGGUAAUACCCGGGUAUUAGGUUGUGGGGCUAUGGAAAGGUUUAUGGUUUUUGGCGUCAGGGUGAAAAUCACUUUCCAAUUUUUUUAAAGAACAUGUUUCAAACCUUUUGGAGUUAGUUAGACCAAAAAAAAUUUAAAAAGAAAAAAAAUUAUUUGGGGUUUUCGGGCUUCCUUAAGGUAAUACCCGGGUAUUAGGUUAUGGGGCUAGGGGAUGGUUUAAGGGUUUUUGGCGUUAGGGUUAAAAUCACUGUCCAAAACCUUUUUAGGAACAUGUUUCAGACCUUUUGGAGUUGGUUACACCAAAAAAAUGUAAAAUUAAAAAAAAUAUAUUUGGGGUUUUCGGGCCUCCUGAAGGCAAUAUUAGGUUAUGGGGCUAGGGUAAGGUUUAAAGUUUUUGGCAUUAGGGUUAAAAUCACUGUCCAUAACCUUUGUAGGAACUCUUUUCCAACUUUUUGGAGUUAUUUAGAUCAAAAAAAAUAAAAAAUGGAAAAAAAAUAUUUGGGGUUUUCUGGAUUACUGAAGGUAAUACCCGGGUAAUCAGUUAUGAACUAGUUUUUGGUUAAAGGGUUUUUGGCGCUAGGGUUUAAAUCACUGUCAAAAACCUUUGUUUAAACUCCUUUCCAACCUUUUGGAGUUAGACAGAAAAAAAGAACAAAAAUUUUUGGGGUUUUAGGUAUUAGGUUUUGGGGCUAGGGUGAGGUUCAAGGUUUUUGGCAUUCGGGUUAAAAUCACUGUCUAAAACCUUUUUAGGAACAUGUUUCAGACCUUUUGGAUGUGGUUACACCGAAAAAAAUGUAAAAUGAAAAAAAAUAUUUGGGGUUGCGGGCUUUCUGAAGGUAAAACCCGGGUAUUAGGUUUCGGGGCUAGGUAAGGUUUAAGGUUUUAAUCGGGAGUGUUAAAAUCACUGUCCAAAACCUUUCUAGGAACAUGCUUCAGACCUUUUGGAGUUGGUUACACCGAAAAAAAUGUAAAAUGAAAAAAAAUAUUUGGGGUUUUCGGGCUUCCUGAAGGUAAUAACCGGGUAUUAGGUCCUGGGGCUAGGGGAAGUUUAAGUCGUUUUGCGUUAGAGUUAAAAUCACUGUCCAAAACCUUUUUAGGAACAUGUUUCAGACCUUUUGGAGUCAAUUACACCAAAAAAAAACAGAAAAUGAAAAAAAAAUGUUUGGGGUGUUGAGGGUUCCUAAAGGUAAUACCCUGGUAUUAGGGUUACGGGGCUAGGGUCAGGUUUAAGGUUUUUGGCGUUAGGGUUAAAAUAACUGUCAAAAACCAUUUUAAGAAGUUUUUUUUACAACCUUUUGGAGGUUGUUAGACCAAAAAAAGAAAAAGAAAAAUGAAAAAAAAAUUGUUUGGGGUGUUAAGGCUUCCUUUAGGUAAUACCCUGGUAUUUGGUUAUGGGGCUAGGGUAAGGUUUAAGGUUUUUGUCCUGAGGGUUAAAAUCACUGUCCAAAACCGUUUAAAGAACAUGUUCCAGACCAUUUGGAGUAAGUUAGACCAAUUAAAAAAAAAGAGAAAUAAAAAAUAAAAUGUUUGGGGUGUUGAGGCUUCCUUACGGUUAUACCCAGGUAUUAGGUUACGGGGCUAGGGUAAGGUUUAAAGUGUUUGGCUUUAGAGUUAAAAUCACUGUCCAAGACCUUUUUAAGAACUAUUGUCCAACCUUUUGGAGCUUUUAGACCAAAAAAAAGCAAAAAAUGAAAAAAAAAUCUUUGGGGUGGUAGGGCUUCCUUUAGGUAUUACCUGGGUAUUAGGUUACAGUGCUAGGUAAAAAUUAAGGGUUUUAGGCAUUAGGGUUAGGAUCAAUGUCCGUAACCUUUUUAAGAACCCUUUUCCAACGUUUUGGAGUGAGUUAGACCAAAAAGAAAGGAAAAAGAAAAAAAAUAUUAGGGGUCUUAAGGCUUCCUUAAGGUAUUACCCAGGUAUUAGGUUUUGGAGCUAGGGUAAGGUUUAAGGUUUUUGGCGUAAGGGUCUAAAACACUGUCCUAAACCGUUUUAAGAACAUGUUCCAGACCUUUUGAAGUUAGUUAGACCAAAAAUAAAAACGAAAAAUGAAAAAUAAAAUGUUAGGGGUCUUAACGCUUCCUUAAGGUCAUACCCAGGUAUUAGGUUAUGGGGCUAGGGUAAGGUUUAAAGUGUUUGGCUUUAGGGUUAAAAUCUCUGUCCAAUAUCUUUUAGGAACAUGUUUCAGACCUUAAGGAGUUAGUUAGACAAAAAAAAAAGGAAAAUGAAAAAAAAGAUUUUGGGGGUGGUAGGACUUCCUUUAGGUAAAACCCGGGUAUUAGGUUACGGGGCUAGGGUAAGGUUUAAGGUUUUUGGCUUUAUGGUUAAAAUCUCUGUCCAAAACCUCUUAAAGAACAUGUUUCAGACCUUUUGGAGUAAGUUAGACCAAAAAAAAAACGAAAAAAUGAAAAAAAAAGUUUUUUGGUGUGGUAGAGCUCUCUUAAGUUAAUACCCGGGUAAUAGGUCACGGGGCUAGGGGAAUGUUUAAGGUUUUGGCGUUGGGGUUAAAAUCACUGUCCAAAACCAUUUUCAGAAGUUUUUUCCAACCUUUUGGAGUUAGUUAGACCAAAAAAAAAAGGAAAAAUGAAAAAAAAGUUUUUUGGGCUGUUAAGGCUUCCUUUAGGUACUACCCCGGUAGUAGGUUUCAGGGCUAGGUAAAUGUUAAAUGUUUUUGGCGUUAGGGUUAAAAUCACUGUCCAAAACCUUUGUAGGAACUCUUUUCCAACGUUUUGGAGUUAGUUGGACAUACAAAAAACGAAAAAAUCAAACAAAAAAAUAAAAUUGGGGGGUGUUAAGGCUUCCUUCAGGUAAUACCCAGCGAUUAGGUUACGGGGUUAGGCUAAGGUUUAAGGUUUUUAGCAUUAGGGUUAAAAUCACUGUCCAAUAUUUUUUAGGAACAUGUUUCAGACCUUUUGGAGUUAGUUAGACCAAAAAAAACCAAAAAAUUUGAAAAAAAAUUUUUGGGGGUGGUAGGGCUUUCUUUAGGUAAUACCCGGGUAUUAGGUUCCAGAGUUAGGUAAAGGUUAAAGGUUUUUUGUGUUAGGGUUAAAAUCACUGUCCAAAACCUUUUUAGGAACUCUUUUCUAACCUUUUGGAGUUAGUUAGACGAAAAAAAAAAGGAAAAAGAAAAAAAAGAUUUUGGGGGUGGUAGGACUUCCUCUCAGUAAAACCCGGGUAUUAGGUUACGGGGCUAGGGUAAGGUUUAAGGUUUUUGGCUUUAUGGUUAAAAUCUCUGUCCAAAACCUCUUAAAGAACAUGUUUCAGACCUUUUGGAGUAAGUUAGACCAAAAAAAAACGAAAAAUGAAAAAAAAGUUUUUUGGUGUGGUAGAGCUCUCUUAAGUUAAUACCCGGGUAAUAGGUCACGGGGCUAGGGGAAUGUUUAAGGUUUUUGGCGUUGGGGUUAAAAUCACUGUCCAAAACCAUUUUCAGAAGUUUUUUCCAACAUUUUGGAGUUAGUUAGACCAAAAAAAAAAGGAAAAAUGAAAAAAAAAGUUUUUUGGGCUGUUAAGGCUUCCUUUAGGUACUACCCCGGUAGUUGGUUUCAGGGCUAGGUAAAUGUUAAAUGUUUUUGGCGUUAAGGUUAAAAUCACUGUCCAAAACCUUUGUAGGAACUCUUUUCCAACGUUUUGGAGUUAGUUGGACAUACAAAAAACGAAAAAAAAAAAAAAAAUACUAGGGCCCCGGUGGGGCACUGGCGGGCCCGAGCCGUGUCACGCCGCCCCCAGCGCGACCGCCUACCCCUCCCGAUCGCGUCACACUCAAGGUCCAAAGAUGGUGUGCGCACUUGUCUGUGGUCAUUUACCAUUAUAAUGAAUGGGAGGUUUCUACCAAAACGCUCGCUGCAGACAAACUCCAUGUCCUUUUUGAAAAAAGUCUGGACCAUGAGUGAGGGCACAAACACAGCUAGUAUAUAUCCAAAUGGCAAGUUGCUCCUCCUUUCGGUUUUGCCGAGAGAGCGAUGCGUUUGAGCCAUUGAGCGAUGGGCAGGAAAAACUUGACUUUUUCUCCUGCCAUGGGGGGGCGCUCUUUUGGGGAGAAAAAAUUCCUUCACAAAUGUGUUGAUGGCUGGACAUUGCAUCAUCCUAGAAAACUUGGAGGCCAGUGAGGACAAAGAUAAAAAGUUAUAAGACUUUAAAAAUGUGGAUAUUUGGGUCCUCUUUGGCGCCCCCUAUAACGUAGACCAUGGGGUGCAGCGUCAUGAUUUUUACAACUUUCAAUGGCCAUGGGGUGUAGAUUGGCCUGAGCAAAUUUGGUGUCACUGGGACGAAAGCCUUAGGAGGAGUUAGCCACAUUCCAAUGUGUGCGAAUCGGCAAAAAAUGCAAAAUAGCCCUUUAACCGUACAUUUUACAGAUACGCACGCAUUGACUUUUUCGUAGAUCUUAUUGAGAUACACGUGAUUGUCAAAUUUUGUGUCAAUAUGACAAAGCGUACAGGCGUGACAUUCAACAAUGUGUAUUUUCACCUUAGGGGACAAGAAAAAAUUGACUUUUUUGUCCUGCCAUGGGCGCUCUUUUGGGGAGUAAAAAUUCCUUCACAAAUGUGUUGAUGGCUGGACAUUGCAUCAUCCUAGAAAACUUGGAGGCCAGUGAGGGCAAAAAUAAAAAGUUAUAAAACUUUUAAGAAUGUGGAUUUUAGGGUUAUUUUUGGCGCCCCCUAGAACCUAAACCAUGGGGUGCAGCAUCAUGAUUUGUACAACUUUGAAUGGCCAUGGAGUGUAGAUUGGCCUGAGCAAAUGUGGUGCCGGUGGACCGAAAGCCUUCGGAGGAGUUAGCGAAAUUCCAAUGUGUGCGGAUCUGCAAAAAAUGCGAAAUAACCCUUUAACCGUACAUUUGACAGAUACGCCCGCACUGACUUUUUUGUAGAUCUUAUUGAGAUACAUGUGUGUGUCAAUUUUUGUGUCAAUAUGACAAAGCAUACAGGCGUGACAGUCAAUAGUGUGAAUUUUCACCUUAGGGGGCGCUAUGGAGCCAUUUUGUAUUUUAUUGUUUGGGCGACUUCAGAAUAUCGAAUUUUUCACCAGGCCCGGUCGUCCUGCCAAAUUUCCUGAGUUUUCGCCAGUGGGAAGUGGGCCAUUUUCCAGUUUAAAGCGGAGGAAAAAUAAUAACUAGGGCCCCGUUGGGGCACUGGCGGGCUCGAGCCGCGUCGCGCCGCCCCCAGCGCGACCGCCUCCCCGUCCCAUUCGUGCCCUCUGGCCAUCGCCCUCUCUGGUGACGCCCAUCACUGCAAAGACCGUUUUCCUUCAUCGGUGUUUGCUGUUCUUCCUGCCAUUGCGUGUUGCUUUCACUUACACUUGCCACAGCCAGCCUCGUGAGUGCCUGGCCUGGUUUGACCUUUGCUCACCAUGAUUGUGUGACCUUGGUAUCAGCUACUUGGGAAGUUCAACCGUUGUGGCAAAGCUUUGUUUGCGUGCUGUGCUCAACCACCUAUUUUCUAUGGAUGUGUAAGUAAACCACUUUCUUUCUUACACAAUGACACACUCAUACUUAUCACUCACUGCUACUGAUGUGCUCUGUUAGUAUGCAUGCAGGAAACCUGAUGAAUGAAGAAAUGCCCAGACUAGCCAACAUCUCAAUAAAUUAUGAGGUAUGACAUCACUUGAAUGGUUUCCUUGGACUAUGCUUCCAUUAUUCUAAUUCUGUAAUAAAAAGAAAUUUUGUCCAAAAGGACUGUUGUUGUUUUUUCUUCUAAUAAUUAACAUAUUUAACAUAAUUAACAUUCAAUAUGCGCUCAUUACACACGUGCACACUCUUUGAUGAUCUGAGAAGCAGAGCUUAAAGGACAGUAGGAGUAGCUGAACAAAGUGUAUUUGUAGGAAAGCCGUAAGAGCUAUUGAAACGCCGUUUUCGCGGGUUGAAAGGUUAGGGUGUCCACCAAAGGUCAGAGGUCAAAUAACAUUUGUAUCUCAAACUGUGACGUCAAAGUCAAGGUCCAAAGAUGGUGUGCGCACCUGUCUUUGGUCAUUUCCCAUUAUAAUGAAUGGGAGGCACAGUUUCUACCAAAACGCUCGCUGCAGACAAACUACAUGUCCUAUUUGAAAAAACUCUGGACCAUGAGUGAGGGCACAAACACAGCUAGGACAUAUCCAAAUGGCAAGUUGCUCCUCCUUUUGGUUUUAGCGGGAGAGCAAUGCGUUUGAGCCAUUAAGCGAUGGGCUGGAAAAACUUGACUUUUUCUCCUGCCAUGGGGGGGCGCUCUUUUGGGGAGAAAAAAUUCCUUCACAGAUGUGUUGAUGGCUGCACAUUGCAUCAUCCUAGAAAACUUGGAGGCCAGUGAGGACAAAAAUAAAAAGUUAUAAGACUUUUAAAAAUGUGGAUAUUUGGGUCAUCUUUGGCGCCCCCUAGAACGUAAACCGUGGGGUGCAGCGUCAUGAUUUGUACAACUUUCAAUGGCCAUGGGGUGUAGAUUGGCCUGAGCAAAUGUAGUGCCGGUGGAACGAAAGCCUUCGGAGGAGUUAGCGAAAUUCCAAUGUGUGCGGAACGGCAAAAAAUGCGAAAUAACCCUUUAACCGUACAUUUGACAGAUACGCCCGCACUGACUUUUUUGUAGAUCUUAUUGAGAUACAUGUGUGUGUCAAUUUUUGUGUCAAUAUGACAAAGCGUAUAGGUGUGACAGUCAAUAGUGUGAAUUUUCACCUUUGGGGGCGCUAUUGAGCCAUUUUGCAUUUUCUUGUUUGGGCGACUUCAGAAUAUCGAAUUUUUCACCAGGCCCGGUUGUCCUGCCAAUUUUCAUGAGUUUUCGCCAGUGGGAAGUGGGCCAUUUUCCAGUUUAAAGCGGAGGAAAAAUAAUAACUAGGGCCCCGGUGGGGCACUGUCGGGCCCGAGCCGCGUCACGCUGCCCCCAGCGCGACCGCCUCCCCCUCCCGAUCGCAUCACACUCAAGGUCCAAAGAUGGUGUGCGCACUUGUCUGUGGUCAUUUCCCAUUAUAAUGAAUGGGAGGCGCAGUUUCUACCAAAACGGUCGCUGCAGACAAACUACAUGUCCUAUUUGAAAAAAGUCUGGACCAUGAGUGAGGGCACAAACACAGCUAGGAUAUAUCCAAAUGGCAAGUUGCUCCUCCUUACGGUGUUGCCAGGAGAGCGAUGCGAUUGAGCCAUUGAGCGAUGGGCAGGGUUAACUGGACUUUUUCUCCUGCCUUGGGGGGGGGGUGUGGAUUCUUUUAAGAAUGUGGAUAUUUGGGUCAUCUUUGGCGCCCCCUAGAACGUAAACCAUGGGGUGCAGCGGCAUGAUUUUUACAACUUUUAAUGGCCAUGGGAUGUAGAUCGGCUUGAGCAAAUCUGGUGUCGGUGGGAAGAAAGCCUUAGGAGGAGUUAGCCACAUUCCAAUGUGUGCGAAUCGGCAAAAAAUGCGAAAUAGCCCUUUAACCGUACAUUUUACAGAUACGUGCCCAUUGACUUUUUCGUAGAUCUUAUUGAGAUACACGUGUGUGUCAAAUUUUGUGUCAUUUUGACAAAGCGUAUAGGCGUGACAGUCAACAAUGUGUUUUUUUACCUUAGGGGACAAGAAAAAUUGGACUUUUUUCUCCUGCCAUGGGGGGGCGCUCUUUUCGGGAGUAAAAAUUCCUUUACAAAUGUGUUGAUGGCUGGACAUUGCAUCAUCCUAGAAAACUUGGAGGCCAGUGAGGACAAAAAUAAAAAGUUAUAAGACUAUUAAGAAUGUGGAUUUUUGGGUUAUCUUUGGCGCCCCCUAGAACCUUAACCGUGGGUUGCAGCAUCAUGAUUUGUACAACUUUGAAUGGCCAUGGGGUGUAGAAUGGCCUGAGCAAAUGUGGUGCCGGUGGAACAAAAGCCUUCGGAGGAGUUAGCGAAAUUCCAAUGUGUUAGGAUCUGCAAAAAAUGCAAAAUAACCCUUUAAUCGUACAUUUGACAGAUACGCCCGCACUGACUUUUUUGUAGCUCUUAUUGAGAUACAUGUGUGUGUCAAUUUUUGUGUCAAUAUGACAAAGCGUACAGGCGUGACAGUCAAUAGUGUAAAUUUUCACCUUAGGGGGCGCUAUGGAGCCAUUUUGCAUUUUAUUGUUUGGGCGACUUCAGAAUAUCGAAUUUUUCACCAGGCCCGGUCAUCCUGCAAAAUGUCAUGAGUUUUCGCCAGUGGGAAGUGGGCCAUUUUCCCCUUCAAAGGGGAGGAAAAAUAAGAAGAAAGAAAGAAAGAAAGAAGAAAGAAAAACCUAUACAGGAAUAAUAGGGCUCUACGCCCGGCUGCUCUGCAGCUGGCUCGGGCCCUAAUAAUAACAAAAGAAGAAUCCAUCAGGAACAAGAGGGCUCUCGCAGCUGCUUAGCAGCUACGCUCGGGCCCUAAAAAUUGGGGGGUGUUAAGGCUUCCUUCAGGUAAUACCCAGCGAUUAGGUUACGGGGUUAGGCUAAGGUUUAAGGUUUUUAGCAUUAGGGUUAAAAUCACUGUCCAAUAUUUUUUAGGAACAUGUUUCAGACCUUUUGGAGUUAGUUAGACCAAAAAAACCCAAAAAAUUUGAAAAAAAAUCUUUUUGGGGUGGUAGGGCUUUCUUUAGGUAAUAUCCGGGUAUUAGGUUCCAGAGUUAGGUAAAGGUUAAAGGUUUUUUGUGUUAGGGUUAAAAUCACUGUCCAAAACCUUUUUAGGAACUCUUUUCUAACCUUUUGGAGUUAGUUAGACAAAAAAAAAUAGGAAAAAGAAAAAAAAAAUGUUUGGGGUGUUAAGGCUUCCUUUAGGAAAUACCCGGUUUUGGGAUAUGGGGUUGAGUUUCUUUAGCCAGUCAUGUCAACCUUUAGAGUGGUGGAGCUGUGUCACUUAAAUACCUCAGAUACUUCAGUGUUAGAUUGCUGGAGCCAUGGGCCUCCUACAACCAUCCUCAACCAAAGAACCUUGUACCCAUAUUUUACAUAAUACAGGUCCCCAAAAAUACGUUCUGUCAUGAUAUUUCCUUCUUGGGACCUUCCAUAUGUUCAUCUAAGGCUUUUAAAAUAUGUUGUUAGGGCCCGAGCGUAGCUGCUAAGCAGCUGCGAGAGCCCUGUAAUUCCUGUAUGGGUUCUUCUUUGUCGUUAGGGCCCGAGCCAGCUGCAACGCAGCCGGGCGUAGAGCCCUCUUGUUUUUCGAUGGGUUUUUCUUUCUUCUUUCUUUCUUUAGGGCCCGAGCGUAGCUGCUAAGCAGCUGCGAGAGCCCUCUUGUUCCUGAUGGAUUCUUCUUUCGUUAUUAUUAGGGCCCGAGCCAGCUGCAGAGCAGCCGGGCGUAGAGCCCUAUUAUUCCUGAUGGAUUCUUCUUUGUUUGUUUGUUUGUUUCUUUCUUUCUUUAGGGCCCGAGCGUAGCUGCUAAGCAGCUGCGAGAGCCCUGUUAUUCCCUUAUGGGUUCUUCUUUGUCGUUAGGGCCCGAGCGUAGCUGCUAAGCAGCUGCGAGAGCCCUGUUGUUCCUGUAUAGGUUUUUCUUUGUUAGGGCCCUAGCGCUGCGAGAGCCCUAUUGUUCCUGUAUCGGUUUUUCUUUCUUCUUUCUUUCUUUCUUUCUUCUUAUUUUUCCUCCCCUUUGAAGGGGAAAAUGGCCCACUUCCCACUGACGAAAACUCAUGAAAUUUGGCAGGAAGACCGGGCCUGGUGAAAAAUUUGAUAUUCUGAAGUCGCACAAACAAUAAAAUGCAAAAUGGCUCCAUAGCGCCCCCUAAGGUGAAAAUUCACAUGAUUGAGUAUCACGCCUGUACGCUUUGUCAAAAUGACACAAAAUUUGACACACACGUGUAUCUCAAUAAGAUCUACAAAAAAGUCAGUGCAGGCGUAUCUGUCAAAUGUACGAUUAAAGGGCUAUUUCGCAUUUUUUGCCGAUCAGCACACAUUGGAAUUUCGCUAACUCCUCCAAAGGCUUUCGUUCCACCGGCACCAAAUUUGCUCAGGUCAAUCUACACCCCAUGGCCAUUCAAAGUUGUACAAAUCAUGACGCUGCACCCCACGGUUUAGGUUCUAGGGGGCGCCAAAGAUAACCCAAAAAUCCACAUUCUUAAAAGUCAUAUAACUUUUUAUUUUUGCCCUCAGUGGCCUCCAAGUUUUCUAGGAUGAUGCAAUGUCCAGCCAUCAACACAUUUGUGAAGGAAUUUUUACUCCCCAAAAGAGCGCCCCCCCAUGGCAGGAGGAAAAGUCCAGUUUUUCUUGCCCUCUAAGGUCAAAAUUCACACUAUUGACUGUCACGCCUGUACGCUUUGUCAUAUUGACACAAAAUUUGACACACACGUGUAUCUCAAUAAGAUCUACGAAAAAGUCAGUGCAGGCGUAUCUGUCAAAUGUACGGUUAAAGGGCUAUUUCGCAUUUUUUGCCGAUCCGCACACAUUGGAAUUUCGCUAACUCCUCCAAAGGCUUUCGUUUCACCGGCACCAAAUUUUCUCAGGUCAAUCUACACCCCAUGGCCAUUCAAAGUUGUACACAUCAUGACGCUGCACCCCACGGUUUACGUUCUAGGGGGCGCCAAAGAUGACCCAAAUAUCCACAUUCUUAAAAGUCUCAUAACUUUUUAUUUUUGUCCUCACUGGCCUCCAAGUUUUCUAGGAUGAUGCAAUGUCCAGCCAUCAACAAAUUUGUGAAGGAAUUCUUUCUCCCCAAAAGAGCGCCCCCCCAUGGCAGGAGAAAAAGUCAAGUUUUUCCUGCCCAUCGCUCAAUGGCUUAAACGCAUCGCUCUCCCGCUAAAACCAAAAGGAGGAGCCACUUGCCAUUUGGAUACCUCAUAGCUGUGUUUGUGCCCUCACUCAUGGUCCAGACUUUUUUCAAAUCGGACAUGUAGUUUGUCUGCAGCGACCAUUUUGGUAGAAACUGCUCCUCCCAUUCAUUAUAAUGGGAAAUGACCAAAGACAGGUGCGCACACCAUCUUUGGACCUUGACUGUGACGUCACAUUUUGAGAUACAAAUGUUAUUUGACCUCUGACCUUUGGUGCACACAUUGGAAUUUCGCUAACUCCUCCAAAGGCUUUCGUUCCACCGGCACCACAUUUGCUCAGGCCAAUCUACACCCCAUGGCCAUUCAAAGUUGUACAAAUCAUGACGCUGCACCCCACGGUUUAGGUUCUAGGGGGCGCCAAAGAUAACCCUAAAAUCCACAUAUUUAAAAGUCUUAUAACUUUUUAUUUUUGCCCUCACUGGCCUCCAAGUUUUCUAGGAUGAUGCAAUGUCCAGCCAUCAACACAUUUGUGAAGGAAUUUUUACUCCCCAAAAGAGCGCCCCCCCAUGGCCGGAGAAAAAAGUCCAUUUUU